rnacentral:tRNA from 1 species
GGAGGUGUAGCCCAGUGGUUGAGUGCCUGCUUCACAUGUAUGUGGUCCUGGGUUCAAUCCCCAGUACCUCCU